rnacentral:rRNA from 1 species
ACGAACGCUGGCGGCGUGCUUAACCCCUGCAAGUCGCACGGAAAGGCCCUGCUUGCCGGGUACUCGAGUGGCGAACGGGUGAGUAACCCGUGGGUGAUCUGCCCUGCACUUCGGGAUCAGCCUGGGAAACUGGGUCUAAUACCGGAUAGGAGCCAUUUUUAGUGUGAUGGUUGGAAAGUUUUUUCGGUGUAGGAUGAGCUCGCGGCCUAUCAGCUUGUUGGUGGGGUAAUGGCCUACCAAGGCGGCGACGGGUAGCCGGCCUGAGAGGGUGGACGGCCACAUUGGGACUGAGAUACGGCCCAGACUCCUACGGGAGGCAGCAGUGGGGAAUAUUGCACAAUGGGCGCAAGCCUGAUGCAGCGACGCCGCGUGGGGGAUGACGGCCUUCGGGUUGUAAACUCCUUUCGCUAGGGACGAAGCUUUUUGUGACGGUACCUAGAUAAGAAGCACCGGCUAACUACGUG